rnacentral:lncRNA from 1 species
GAGUAAUUUGUCAAGUCUCAACUAAUUUAGGUUUAAUUCAUGUUUUGCACAAAAAUUUUGUGUUUAGGCUGUUGAAAGCUUCACAAGACCGUUGUUAAGAGGCGAAUGUCCCAUGUGAGUGGAGGAGGACCCAUAGAUUUGUCUGACACAGAUUCCCUACAGGCCUGGAUCAACAUGACUGGCUUCCUUUGAACCCUUGGGGGAGUGUGCCUCCAGCAGAGAAGUAAUUCUGGCCUGGCAACCUAUAGCCCACCCGUGGGUCCGGUCAGUGAACAUAAGGGUUCCCCGAUUUCAGUGAUGUCCUCAGAGGGAAAUGCAGAUACACCUGUCAGCAAAUAUAUGGAUCAGCUGUUGGUCGUUAAUGGUGUGUAACCAUGAGAAAGUGGGACUUCAAAUACGGACCAAUGAUAAGGACCUGGUGGGUCUAGAAUCAGUCCUGCUCUUUAUCUGAUGCUAUUUACAAAUUGAAGAAUACCAUCAGCAAGUUUUUUGACUCCCAAGGACAGGUUUUAUUGACUGAUACCAAUACUCAAUUUGUAGAGCAAACCCUAGCUAUAUUGAAGAACUUGCUAGAUAAUCAUACUGAAGGCAGCUCUGAACAUCUAGAGCAAGCUAGCAUUGAAACAAUGAUGUUAUAUCUGGUCAGGUAUGUUCGUGUGCUUGGGAAUAUGGUCCAUGCAAUUCAAAUAAAAACGAAACUGUAUCAGUUGGUUGAAGUAACGAUGGCAAGGAGAGAUGACCUCUCAUUUUGCCAAGAGAUGAAAUUAGGUGAGUUCUCAAAAGAGCGAUGUAGAGUCCUGUAAAUCUUAAUAUGUUGAAUGAAGUACAGAAAUAGAGU